rnacentral:rRNA from 1 species
ACGGGUGAGUAACACGUGAGUAACCUGCCCUUGACUCUGGGAUAAGCGUUGGAAACGACGUCUAAUACCGGAUACGACCUUCGGAGGCAUCUCCUGGGGGUGGAAAGAAUUUCGGUCAAGGAUGGACUCGCGGCCUAUCAGCUAGUUGGUGAGGUAAUGGCUCACCAAGGCGACGACGGGUAGCCGGCCUGAGAGGGUGACCGGCCACACUGGGACUGAGACACGGCCCAGACUCCUACGGGAGGCAGCAGUGGGGAAUAUUGCACAAUGGGCGCAAGCCUGAUGCAGCAACGCCGCGUGAGGGACGACGGCCUUCGGGUUGUAAACCUCUUUUAGUAGGGAAGAAGCGAAAGUGACGGUACCUGCAGAAAAAGCACCGGCUAACUACGUGCCAGCAGCCGCGGUAAUACGUAGGGUGCAAGCGUUAUCCGGAAUUAUUGGGCGUAAAGAGCUCGUAGGCGGUUUGUCGCGUCUGCUGUGAAAACCCGAGGCUCAACCUCGGGCCUGCAGUGGGUACGGGCAGACUAGAGUGCGGUAGGGGAGAUUGGAAUUCCUGGUGUAGCGGUGGAAUGCGCAGA